rnacentral:rRNA from 1 species
CCCUUAGAUGUUCUGGGCUGCACGCGCGCUACACUGAUGCGAUCAACAAGUUUUUCCUAUGUCGAUAGACACGGGUAAUCUUUUGAACUCGCAUCGUGAUGGGGAUAGAUUAUUGUAAUUAUUAAUCUUCGACGAGGAAUUCCUAGUAGGUGCAAAUCAUCAGUUUGCAUCGAUUACGUCCCUGCCCUUUGUACACACCGCCCGUCGCUGCUACCGAUUGGUUGAUCUGGUGAAUUAUUCGGACUGCCGGCUGAAGGGGUUUCCUCAUCUGCCAGCGGAAAGUCUUGUUAACCCUAUCAACUAGAGGAAGCAGAAGUCGUAACA